rnacentral:lncRNA from 1 species
CUCUUUCUCUCUCCCUUGCCCCUUUCUCCCAUAGUUAUUAUCUUUCACUACGUGUUUUGAGAAAACCUCAAAAUCUGCUGCUGGUAAAUCUAAUUCUUAUACUUGAAAAUGUUGACUGAUUUAUAGAUUUCUUCCUAUGUCUUAAUUAAAAUCAAUGCAUUUUCUCCUUUGGCACACAUGUAAAACCCAAAUGAGAUCUACAGCUCUGUCUGUAGGGGUUUAUCCAGGAGUUGCAGUGACUACUGUAGAUACAAAGGGAAGUCCUGGUACUGGCUAAUUUGAACUUGCAAUUGUUCACUCGCCUAACUAUACAUGUGGAAUAAAGUUAUUACCAUUCAAUUAUGAUUACUUGACCAAUAUAUCUGUGUGUGUGUGACAGAUGGAUUUUGAGAGUGGACAAGUGGAUCCACUGGCAUCUGUAAUUUUGCCUCCAAACUUACUUGAGAAUUUAAGUCCAGAAGAUUCUGUAUUAGUUAGAAGAGCACAGUUUACUUUCUUCAACAAAACUGGACUUUUCCAGGAUGUAGGACCCCAAAGAAAAACUUUAGUGAGUUAUGUGAUGGCGUGCAGUAUUGGAAACAUUACUAUCCA